GCCACUCCCUUUUCUCUGAUUGGACGGGGGCGGGAGAAAAGGGACUGGUGACUCUGGGACACAUUUUGUGUCUCUACCAGAAUUUGGGUAGAGAUUAUUCAUUGAUUUUUCCACGUGAUCCAAAAAUUGCGUGAGGUUAAGUAGAAUUGCGUAGCCUGCAAAAGUGAUCGCGGGCUUCUUAGCUACAGUUUAAGAAUGGAUGCUAGUGCUAGAAAAGAGAAGAUGAUGGAGUAAUAACAUCAUCAGGCAUUCAGCUAGGAUAUAGUCAUCUAAGACACCAGCAGAGAUUAGCUUGUUUUAGUUUUACGUGAUGAGAACUGGCAGCCGAAAGUCAUUGGUUGCCUAAAGCUUUUAAUAACCUGUACAAUACAAGACAGGUAAUGGCAGACGGCAGCAGUUGAAUUGAGAGUAGUCAGACUUGUACAAGCUGUCUUAAAUCGCUGCCACUCCUCGGUUCAAAGAAGGACUGCCAAGAUUUCUACGUUCAUCAUCUGUUCCAUGCUAAUCCACAAGUUGUGGCACAACAGACACUGGUACAAGGAUCUAAAGGCUGGCUAGAUAGAUCUGUAUACUUGUCUUCUGUGUGUCUUUAGCUUUUGACGCAUCAGAAUAAAUGGAUAAUUUGCACGUGACAUUAAUAUUUAAUAGCAUUCCUGAUUUACACAAGCUGUAGCCCAGAGUCACCAGUCCCUUUUCUCCCGCCCCCGUCCAAUCAGAGAAAAGGGAGUGGCUUGCGAGUCUCCUGUGUCUAUGGCUGGGGAAGCUCAGUAUACUGGUGUCUGCAGACUAUGUGGUGCAAGUGAAGAUGGUCUCCUACAGUCAUCCAUCCAACACACUCCCUGGUGGCCGAUGUUGUGAUUCACCAUGGAGAUUCAACGGUGUAGUACCAUGUAACGAAGGGGAACGCUGUGACACCUUCUUCAUCUACUGCCUGAGACCACAUGCCAGUACUACUCAAUGUAGUUAAGGACUGUCCCUGUGAUUGUUAAGGACUUUUUUGUACAAGUGAUCAUAUCUUUGAGAUAGUUUCAUAUGAAUCAAUGAAAUUUUGUAGGAAUGUAGUCUCAUAAAGAAGCUACAUGCUGACAUAGA